UGGAAACUAUGAAAGUACCUUCACUUGCCAUCAAUGCAUAAUCAUCACUUCCAUAUUGAUCACGAGCAUUGUUUAUACUUUUCUAUCUCUUUUCUUAGCCUUGUAGUAAUUUCUAGCAAAAUGAAGUGGUUUUCCACAAAUGAAAUAAGUUCUUGCAUUGCCAUAUUGAUUAAAAUAACUUCCCUUGCCUUGCCUUAAAAAGAGAGCCAAAUCCUCACUUUGAGGCUAUUUUUCUUUUUUAUUCGUUACUUCAUGAGUAAGUGAUGCCAUCACAUAAUCCAUUGUGAGCUCUUUUAGUUUGAUGGACUCCAAUGCCUCAAUGAAGUAGUUGUAGG
rnacentral:lncRNA from 1 species